rnacentral:rRNA from 1 species
AUUGAACGCUGGCGGCAGGCCUAACACAUGCAAGUCGAGCGAGCGGCGGACGGGUGAGUAAUGUAUGGGAAACUGCCCGAUGGAGGGGGAUAACUACUGGAAACGGUAGCUAAUACCGCAUACUAUCGGAUGUGCCCAUAUGGGAUUAGCUAGUAGGUGGGGUAAAGGCUAACCUAGGCGACGAUCCCUAGCUGGUCUGAGAGGAUGACCAGCCACCCUGGGACUGAGACACGGCCCAGACUCCUACGGGAGGCAGCAGUGGGGAAUAUUGCACAAUGGGCGCAAGCCUGAUGCAGCCAGGCCGCGUGUAUGAAGAAGGCCUUCGGGUUGUAAAGUACUUUCAGCGGGGAGGCGUUACCCGCAGAAGAAGCACCGGCUAACUCCGUGCCAGCCGCCGCGGUAAUAC